rnacentral:rRNA from 1 species
GAUGAACGCUGGCGGCGUGCCUAAUACAUGCAAGUCGAGCGAACGGACGAGAAGCUUGCUUCUCUGAUGUUAGCGGCGGGCGGGUGAGUAACACGUGGAUAACCUACCUAUAAGACUGGGAUAACUUCGGGAAACCGGAGCUAAUACCGGAUAAUAUUUUGAACCGCAUGGUUCAAAAGUGAAAGACGGUCUUGCUGUCACUUAUAGAUGGAUCCGCGCUGCAUUAGCUAGUUGGUAAGGUAACGGCUUACCAAGGCAACGAUGCAUAGCCGACCUGAGAGGGUGAUCGGCCACACUGGAACUGAGACACGGUCCAGACUCCUACGGGAGGCAGCAGUAGGGAAUCUUCCGCAAUGGGCGAAAGCCUGACGGAGCAACGCCGCGUGAGUGAUGAAGGUCUUCGGAUCGUAGAACUCUGUUAUUAGGGAAGAACAUAUGUGUAAGUAACUGUGCACAUCUUGACGGUACCUAAUCAGAAAGCCACGGCUAACUACGUG